rnacentral:pre_miRNA from 1 species
AUCACCUAGGGAUCUUGUUAAAAUGUAGAUUUUUAUUCACAGGGUCAUCAGUGUGGACUGAGAGUCUGCAUUUCUAACAAGUUCCCAGGUGAUGCUGA